rnacentral:lncRNA from 1 species
AAUUUUUUAGUCAACUCCAAUAUUUCAAAUACCAAUCUCACUUAUAGGUCAAGGGUUCUAUAUUAAGAUUUUUAACCAUUAAUUCUCAUGAAUUAAAAAAUGAUGGUUUAUUGAAAUAUUGACUAAAUUCUCAUGAAUUUAAUAAACUGGUUAUUAAAUCAUAAAUGCAUGCAAACAUGUAUUUUGAAUUUUCAUAUGGAAACACUAUACAAUACGAUUUUCUUUGUAUUUUUGAGACACUUGGUUGUUUGAAAUUAAAACAUUUAAUUUUUUUUGUAUUUUUGAUUUUGAACAUUCAAAAUUUAAUAAAAAAAUAAAAACACACACACACCCAUCUUUUUUUACUAUAUUUUACUCACACACACACCCACAAUUAUUAAUUUACAAAUUAUCUAAAUUUAAAAUAAUUCAAACAACACAUUAAACAAUUGUAAAAAUUCACAAAUCAAUUUGCUGAGAAUUCUGGAAUAGUAUUGGGAGUCCUAGUGGCGCAUGGAACCACGCGCCGUUAUAGGAAAGGCUGGAGAUUGGUAGAUCUGGACUGAUUUCUUCUUUUCCUUCUUCUUGUGCUGGCAGUGAUGGAUUUAGUUACCUGCAAAAGAAAAUCUUUAUAGAAGCAAAAAUCAUCAAUUUUUUUCUUCUGAUUCUCUCUCUCAGUUUCGUCUCUCUCUAUUUUUUUUACUGCAGAUGGUCACUACUACCACAAAUGAAAGAGGUAACGGCUGGAGUAAACGGGGUUGUUGGUUGGUGGCUGGAGAAGGGUGGAUCCACGGUGGAAGAAGAAGCAGCCGCUGGUUAUGGUGAGGAUAUGCUGUGAAGGACGUUGUUACUGGGAGGAGGAGAAGUCGCUGCUUUACUGGCAUAGUUGUGAUGUUUCGGCCAAGAGAGGGUCCGAUUUGGAAGGGUCUACUUUCAGUGGAGAAGAAGAAGGGAAAUGACGUUGGGCAGUGAGGUAUUAGGUUGGAAAUGGGGUUUGGUCCAUGGUGGUAGUGAUGAUUGAGAAGAGAAAGGAAGGAGAUGUUGUGGGUGGUUUUGGUUUGAAGUUGUAGAUGCUGACUUGAGGAGCUGGCGUUCACGGUGGCUGAGGGAAAAACUCUGGUGGUGCUGCUGUCACAGUCGUCUAUGGUAGCAACGAGGAGGAACCUUUAGGCUGAUCUUGAUGUUGAGGCUGGUCUAUUGUGAGAAUGGUUUAUAGGUUAUGAUGGUGAGAGAGGUUGAAGAGGAUGCUUAAGCCUUAUGGUCGAAUGUUGUGCUGCGUGAUGAAUGGGUAGUGGGUGGUGGUUGUCUUGGCAAUAGAGAGGGAAGUCUAGUGGUGGUCUGAUGUGAAAGAGGCAGUAGGUUGAAGAGCUGAGGUAUAUGGUGAAUGGCAUUUUUGCUUGGUUUGGACAUGCAGCUGUAGUGACGGGGAAGAGACAAUGAAAGGGGCAAAAAUUGUUUUCCAGGGUUGAGGACAGCUGAUCGAGGGUUGUUUAGGUUUGAGGUUUUUUUGUGCUGUGGAGGUGUGGGGAGAGUAUGUGUGAAUUUCUUGUUUAUAUAUAUAUAUAUAUAUAUAU